rnacentral:rRNA from 1 species
GAAAGGGGAGCGACCCGUCAAAUCGGGCCAUCACACAGGUGCUGCAUGGCUGUCGUCAGCUCGUGCCGUGAGGUGUUGGGUUCAGUCCCGCAACGAGCGCAACCCUCGCCCUUUGUUGCCAUCGGGUAAAGCCGGGCACUCUAAGGGGACUGCCAGGCGACAAGUUGGAGGAAGGAGAGGAUGACGUCAAGUCAUCAUGG